UCUCCUGAGUCUCGACGAUGUCGAAGGUGUAGCUGGUUCCCUUCUUUCUACAGUCACAGAGUAACAAAGCAUAGGUCAAUCAAGAUCUAGAGCAACAUAAGAUUUACAGAAGACAAAGAUUAUAGUUUCAGACACAGAUCAAGCAUCAAGAUCCAAAAACAGAGAGGUUUCACUCUGCUGUUGGCUCAACAAAAUCGAUAACUCAACGAAUCAGAAACAGGGUCUUUCUCAAAAAAAGAAACAGAGGACACUUACACGCACUGGGUCUUGUCAGCACA